GACGAACCGUGCGAACGUUGUUCGGAAUCACUGGGCUUAAAGGGCGCGUAGGCGGGCAGUCCAGUCCGGGGUGAAAUCUUUCGGCUUAACCGGAAAAGGGCCUUGGAUACUGACUGUCUGGAGGGAGGUAGGGGCAUGCGGAACUUCCGGUGGAGCGGUGAAAUGCGUUGAUAUCGGAAGGAACGCCGGUGGCGAAAGCGGCGUGCUGGACCUCUUCUGACGCUGAGGCGCGAAAGCCAGGGGAGCGAACGGG
rnacentral:rRNA from 1 species